GUCGUGCAUGACGUUACUUGGUUGGUAACCAAUUUGGGGAGCUGUUGUUCGUAAGUUUCUACCGAUGUAAAAGACAGCGUGCAGUCAGCAGAAUGCGUGAGGACGGCGUCGUGCCUGCCAUACGAUUUCCAUUCCUCUCAUUAGAACGUCCAGUAAGUCUGCGUUUCGCCGCAUUAGUGAGACGAUGACGCCGUCACCCCCAGGAAAUGUGUCGCAUAUCACGCUCAACGAUCGCGUUCCUCGUUAUGUUCACGUAGAAAAGAGAGGCUCUAAUCAAUGCCUUAAUACGAACGGUUCACACUGUUGGCUGAUAUAGAUAGUUGAAAAGAUAAGCGGCAAAUUGAAUGCUCUCCGUGCGGGAGGAGAGGAAAAAAAACAGGAAAGAAAAUAAAGGGUUUUCUCUACGACGGGAUGUCGUAAAAACCGGAUACGUUUUCAAAUACAUUAGGUUGAGAUUCUCGUUACGUUAGUUUGCCUUUUUGUGACACAGAGGAUUAGAAGCUUUACUUUACCUUA